rnacentral:rRNA from 1 species
UAAUACGAAGGGGGCUAGCGUUAUUCGGAAUUACUGGGCGUAAAGGGCGCGUAGGCGGCCCGGUAAGUCAAAGGUGAAAUCCCUCGGCUCAACUGAGGAACUGCCUUUGAAACUGCUGGGCUUGAGUCCGGGAGGGGGUAGCGGAAUUCCCAGUGUAGCGGUGAAAUGCGUAGAUAUUGGGAGGAACACCGGUGGCGAAGGCGGCUACCUGGACCGGCACUGACGCUGAGGCGCGAAAGCGUGGGAGCAAACA